ensembl:lncRNA
GUUUCGAUCAGCGUGGGAAAAAAAAGAGGUCACCGGCUGGCCUCUUGAGAGGGAAGUCAAGGGAGGGCUUGGAGUUGGUAAACGGUGCUUCGUGAGUCUCGGAGGAGUCUGACACCUUCUAACCCCUUGCCAGCUGCGGCCAAUGAGAUUGGGAAGACUCCACGUGUGCAAGUGAAAUAAGAGGAUCUUUUGUGUGAAAAAGGUUUAUUUUUGAGAGGGGCGAUGGGACGCGGGGAGCGAAGAGGAUGAUGGAAUGAUGGAGGGAGGUUCAUUCCAAAUAUACUGACUCAAAAAGCAGUCUGGAAGGAAAGACACCAGAUUGUUAAGUGUUUAUCACUGGUGAAUGAAUGGCCUGGAGGACUUUCACUUUAGGCACCUCUGUCCGUUGGAUUCUCCGGGCAAGAAUACUGGAGUGGGUUGCCAUUUCCUUCUUCAGGGGAUCUUCCCGACCCAGGAACUGAACCCGCAUUUCUGCAUCGGCAGGCAGAUUCUUUAUCACUGAGCCACCUGUGCAGCCCCAACUUUCCCCCUACUGUUGUAUAUUUAUUUUUUUCAGAUCUUACUCUUACAAAUAAAGCUGCAGUCAACAUCUUUGCACGUAAACCUUCGUCCUCACCUCUGAUUAUUUAUGUUUGGAAGGAGUCCUAGAAGUAGAAUGCCUGGACUAACAGCUUUAAAUAUUUUC